UACGGAGGGGGCUAGCGUUAUUCGGAAUUACUGGGCGUAAAGCGCACGUAGGCGGCUUUGUAAGUCAGAGGUGAAAGCCUGGAGCUCAACUCCAGAACUGCCUUUGAGACUGCAUCGCUUGAAUCCAGGAGAGGUGAGUGGAAUUCCGAGUGUAGAGGUGAAAUUCGUAGAUAUUCGGAAGAACACCAGUGGCGAAGGCGACUCGCUGGACAGACAUUGACGCUGAGGUGCGAAAGCGUGGGGAGCAAACAGG
rnacentral:rRNA from 1 species